GACGUAGGGCGCGAGCGUUGUCCGGAUUUAUUGGGCGUAAAGAGCUCGUAGGCGGCUUGUCGCGUCGUCCGUGAAAACCUGCAGCUCAACUGCAGGCUUGCGGUCGAUACGGGCAGGCUGGAGUUCGGUAGGGGAGACUGGAAUUCCCGGUGUAGUGGUGAAAUGCGUAGAUAUCGGGAGGAACACCAGUGGCGAAGGCGGCUUUCUGGCCUGUUCUUGACGCUGAGGCGCGAAAGCUAGGGGAGCGAACGGG
rnacentral:rRNA from 1 species